UAGUCCCAGGCAUUGUGGGAACAGAGUCUCGUCUUCCCGACGUGCCCUGCAGCUCGGGGGCCGAACCCGGAAGUUCCGGGCUGAGCUCCUGGUGCCAACGAGUCUCGUCAGGAGCAGCUAGAAACUGGGGAUAUGGCAGGUCCCGGCCCAGCGCUCUGCCUCUUCGACGUGGAUGGGACCCUCACCGCUCCGCGGCAGAAAAUUACCAAAGAAAUGGAUGACUUCCUGCAAAAAUUGAGGCAGAAGAUCAAAAUCGGAGUAGUAGGCGGGUCGGACUUUGAGAAAGUACAGGAGCAACUGGGAAAUGAUGUGCUUGAAAAAUAUGAUUAUGUGUUUCCAGAAAAUGGCUUGGUAGCAUACAAAGAUGGGAAACUCUUGUGUAAACAGAAUAUUCAAAGUCAUCUGGGUGAGGCCCUAAUCCAAGAUUUAAUCAACUACUGUCUGAGCUACAUUGCAAAAAUUAAACUCCCAAAGAAGAGGGGUACUUUCAUUGAAUUCCGAAAUGGGAUGUUAAAUGUGUCCCCUAUUGGAAGAAGCUGCAGCCAAGAAGAACGCAUUGAGUUCUACGAACUUGAUAAAAAAGAAAACAUAAGACAAAAGUUUGUAGCAGAUCUACAGAAAGAGUUCGCGGGCAAAGGCCUCACAUUUUCCAUAGGAGGCCAGAUCAGCUUUGAUGUCUUUCCUGAUGGAUGGGACAAGAGAUACUGCCUGCGACAUGUGGAAAAUGACGGUUAUAGGACCAUUCAUUUCUUUGGAGACAAAACCAUGCCAGGUGGCAACGACCAUGAGAUCUUCACAGACCCCAGGACCGUGGGCCACUCAGUGACAGCGCCUGAGGACACACGCAGGAUCUGCGAAGAGCUCUUCUGACACCGGAGCAGGAGUGGGGGGUCCUGGCUGACAAGACAGCGUGGGGCAUUUGGUGGCCAGAGCCGAGGGCCCACCCACGUGCUCACCCACCCACAGCCAGCCCAGCCAGGCGAUGCACCCUGUGCCAGGCACAUGCAGUCUGGACCUCCACCCCCGACACACCAUUCCUCCACCUCCAGUGCCAGAGGCUUCCAGAAGGAAGGAGAAAACAUUUGUCAAGAAUGGCUCAGAAGAAUGCCUCCCACAAAAGGUCUUCCCCACCUACCCCCAGCCCCCUAGUCUAAUACCCACCUAAUAUAUGCAAUCACAUAGUUUUGGGGAAACUUCCCCAUCAUCCUAGGAUGAUACAGAAAGAAAAAAUGUGCCUGGACCCUCCCUCUUGGUGGUUCUUUUGAAAACAUAAACGGUUUUUUGUUUUUUUUUUUUGAGACAGAGUCUAGCUCUGUCACCUAGGUUAGAGUGCAGUGGUGCAAUCUCGGCUCACUGCAGUCCCUGCCUCCUGGGUUCAAGCGAUUCUGUCUCGGCCUCCUGAGUAGCUGGGAUUAUAGGUGUGUGCCACCACACGCAGCUAAUUUUCUUGUAUUUUUUUUAGAGACAGGGUUUCACCAUGUUGGCCAGGAUGGUCUUGAUCACUUGACCUCAUGAUCUGCCUACCUCGGCCUCCCAAAGUGCUGGGAUUACAGGUGUGAGCCACUGUGCCCGGCCCUUAAGUGGUUUUAAUGGACCCCUGUGUCAGCAUCAAAAAUGGAAUUUGGUACUGAAAAACAAGGACAGGCCAUCUGCAGUGACCCAUCCCAGGACAAAGUUUACAAACACUUGCUGCCUGUGCAUUGCCUUGAUGAGGGCAGUGAGCAGGGCACGGUGAUGUCCAGGGACUAGGUGCACUUUGUUUUCCCAUGUUUGAGGCUGAGGCCUGCUUGUCAGAUAGCUGGCCAAGUGGCAGCAGACCCCAGGGAGUUUGCACCUCAGCUGGCCCAGAUUUGGGCUGGCUCUGUACUCAUUACACUUGGAAUAGCCGGGCUGCUUCUCUGUCUCUGAGAUGGAGGCAGUGGGAACCAGCUGCCCCGCUGGAGAACUGGCAAUGGCAAAAAGUCCUUCCGUGGGGGACCAGUUCUCACCCAGGUUCAGAGAAACUAACGUGGUAUGUCAGACUUCACCAAAAGGACCUUCUGGUUGCUCUGGCUGGCUUCCCAGAGGCCUUCGUCUCUAGUUUCCCAGGGAUCGAGCCAGACCCCGGCCAGGGAACAGGAAGAGGAGCUGCUCUUCUGUCUGUGCCCACCCAGGCCCUCACCCAGACUCGAUGACUGAGAGGGCUGAGUGCAGCUGCAGCCAUGUCUGUGACCCUCACUCUUCCUACCUUCUGCACCUUCUUCGUGAAACUGGAAGGAUCCCAGGCCACAUCCUUGACAACUGAGAGGGCAGAGUGCAGCUGCAGCCAUGCCCGCAUCCCUCACUCUUUUCUACCUUCUGCACCUUCUUAGUGAAACUGGAAGGAUCCCAGGCCUCAUCCAGAACACAUGGAAGAGAACUUUCCUAGGAAACAGCUCACAUGUCAGUUUUUAGGAUGUGGAACCACUGGGACUCCAUUGCUUGGUGCUGGGGCUGUGUGGCCUCCACUGGGCGCUUGCCAACCUGAGUCUGGGGCCAGGGGGUCCCUGACUGCCCAGCACUCCCGCCCCCAGCCCUCAGCCAGGUUUUCUUAAGGUAUUCCGUCAAACGAAGACAGCUGAGUCUUUCAAAGUUGUUGUAACUGGAGAUGGAAGGUUUCUGCUGCGUCCCCGCCUGCGCAGGGCUGCCCUCAGGCUGGCUUCCUGGGGGUUACUCCAGGGGCGUCUGCUUGCUAAAUGACAGCUAACUGACGCAUGUGCAGUGCUUCCUGGUGCCUUCCACAUGUCUGCAGAGCAGCAGGUUCUACACUUGGCAGGUAAGAGCACGCCCUCCAAAGCUCCAAGCCUAGUUCUGCUGCUACUCACUGCUGUGUGACUUAGGGUAAGUUCAUCUUCGCCUCAGUUCGUUCAUCUGUCAAAUGGGAUAGUCCUUACCACGUAUGGAAUUUAAAGCACUUCGAAUAGUAAUAUGAGCCAUUACUAAUUCAGUACCUCCCUCCCAACCCAGAACCUUUACAAGGUAGGGACAGUCUUCCCUCUGCCUUAGGGGCUGGCAAGAUAAAGACACUGUCACAAGCAAUUUAAACAUGGUAGGCAAGUUUUGAGCCAGAGUAAAGCACAGAGGUUGCACCCAGGCCAGCCUAGCGCUAUUCAAAGUUACCAUCCCCAGCACUGCAGAAGCUGACCCUGAGCUCAAGAUCACCCAGGGCUGAAGCCUCAGGGGAAAGGCCUGGGUUGAACCUGAGCAGCCGGUGAGUGCAGGGCAGGCCUCUGGCUCCCUAGAGGGAGAGGCUAGCCAGGAAGCUGAGCUUGAACCUGAUUCUGAGGGAGGGGCCCAGAGCACACUCCUGAUCUAUCCACCUGUCACUCUCCACCUACUUGAAGGGGAGUGCCCACAGGGGCCAGGAGAGGAACUGGUUGGGCAGUUGGGCUGAUGUUGCCGUAAUCGGGACAUAUCCAGGCAUACGUGGUUUUGAAUCACUUCCUCUCCACCCCUCCCAAGUGUUCUGGGUCUGGGCCCCAGCAGGCCACCUCAGCCCAGGCAGGCUCCUCCAAACCUAACCAGAGGCAACUGGGCCUUCAGACUCCCUGCAACCUCCACGCUGCUCUCCACAGCACCCCAAAUUCAAGAUCAGAGCUCAUUGUUCACUACCACCUUCACCCAAGGCUAGUUUCCUAAAUGUCUUCCCAGUCCCACCUUGAGUUUUUGGGGGUGUUUGUUUGCUUGCUUGCUUUUAGAGACGGAGUCUCGCUGUUGUCGCCUGGGCUGGAGUGCAGUGAUGCAAUCUCGGCUCACUGCAACCUCCCCUUCCUGGGUUCCAGCAAUUCUCCUGCCUCAGCCUCCCGAGUAGCUGAGAAUAUGUGCACCUGCCACCACCUAUUUUUGUAUAUUUUCUAGAGAUGGGGUUUCACCACAUUGGCCAGGCUGCUAUCAAACUCCUGACCUCCGGUGAUCCACCUGCCUAGGCCUCCCAAAGUGCUGAGCCACCACGCCCAGCCUUUAUUUCUUUUUUUUUUUUUUUUUUUUUUGAGACAGUCUUCCUCUGUUACCCAGGCUUGAGUGCAGUGUGGUACAAUCUCGGCUCUCUGCUUCCCAGGUUCAAGCGAUUCUCCUGCCUCAGCCUCCCAAGUAGCUGGGAAUACAGACAUGCGCUGCCAGCCACCACCGUGUUAGCCAGGCUGGUCUUGAACUCCUGACCUCAAGUGAUUCACCCACCUUGGCCUCACAAAGUGCUGGAAUUAUAGGCGUGAGCCACUGUGCCCAUCCCCCACUUUCAGCUUUUGCCAAACCCUACCUCGUGCCACCCAUGUAGUACACCAUAUAGUAAAUCGGCACAUUUCUUUUUGUUUUUGAGAUGGCGUUUCACUCGUUACCCAGGCUGGAGUGCAAUGGCGCGAUCUCGGCUUACCGCAACCUCCGCCUCCUGGGUUCAGGCAAUUCUCCUGCCUCAGCCUCCUGAGUAGCUGGGAUUACAGGCACGCGCCACCAUGCCCAGCUAAUUUUUUAUAUCUUUAGUAGAGAUGGGGUUUUACCAUGUUGACCAGGAUGGUCUCGAUAUCUUGACCUCGUGAUCCACCCGCCUCGGCCUCCCAAAUUUGUUUUGAGCUAAGUGCCUACUUUAGCCUCUCCCUAAACAGGUUUGAUGGGCUGGUUUUAUUUUAUAUACUUUCUCCCAGUGCGCCUUGGAAAUCAUUGUAUAAUACUGGCAAGAAAAAUGUCCAUCUCUCUGAUUGCAGUGGCUCAUGUGGGUAAUCCCGGCACUUUGGGAGGCCGAGGUGGGCAGAUCAUUAGAUCGGAAGAUGAACACCAUCUUGGUUACAUGGUGAAACCCCAUUUCUACUAAAACGACACAAAAUUAGCCAGGCACGGUGGUGGGUGCCUAUAGUCCCAACUUCUUGGGAGGUUGAGGCAGGAGGAUCGACACUGCAGAUGGGAUGGGACAGGAAUGGAUGGGGGAAAGCGGAAGGGAAGGUCUAGGGGGAGGGAAGGCAGAAGGGAUGAGAAGGGAAGGCGGCAGGAAAAGGAAGGGAAGGUAGAAGAGAAGUUAAGGCAAAAGGAAUGAGAAGGGAAGGCAGAAGGGAUGGGAAGGGAAGGUGGAAGGAGAGGAAGGGAAGGCGAAGGGAAAGUGGAGGGGGAGGGGCAGGGGAAGGAGAAGAAAGGGAGAUUCAGGCACAAAGUGGAUUGAAAAGAUAUACAGCCAUGGACUCUCCCUGGGACCUGAAGCCUCAUCUGUUUAAAAGUCCAUAGCAGGGAAGAAUGGUUUGCCGUUGGGACAGUGGGAAUGAGUGUCAGAAGGUAGGGAGGUGUGAGAACCCCUGUUCUUGGUUUACAGAGCAGUGAUUGGCCAGGGCCACUCUAUGGGGGGGCGGGGGGCAUUGUGCUCUGCUGGGGAGGUUUCGUUAUGGCAAGUGUGUCCCAAGUGUAACUUUAGGUGGUGCAGAGAUGGACAUUUUUCCUUUUUUGGGAUAUAGUCUUGCUAUCACCCAGGCUGGAGUAGGGUGGCGCCAUCUCAGCUCACUGUACCCGCUGCCUCUCGGGUUCAAGGGAUUUUGUCAAGUAGCCAGGACCACAGGCUAAUGCCAGCAUUCCCAGCUAAUUGUGUAUUUUUGGUAGAGACCAGGUUUCACCAUGAUGCCCGGCUGGCCUCAAACUCCUGAGCUCAAGCCAUCCACCUGCCUCAGCCUCUCAAAAUACUGGGAUUUUAGGCGUAAGCCACUGUGCCCAACCUAGCAAACAUCCAUCAAAUGUCUGUAACAGCAGCCGGGCACAGUGGCUUCACACCUGUACUCCCAGCACUGUGGAAGGCAGAGGCAAGAGGAUGGACGGCCGCUGGUGGCAUUUUCUGUUGCCAGGAAGCUGCAUUCUCCUUCCUGCUAAGCUUUCUUAUGCUAGAAAAUGAUGAUUGAAGAGUAACAGAUGAUCCCAUCUUCUUAUUCACCACCCCCUAAAAAGACUGACAAGUGUGUCAGCCUUGCCUGAGGGAGACAUCCUUACCUGAGGACUUAAAGGAAAAGCUCCUUGGUGAGCCAGCCUCCACACAGACACAUACACAGCUUUGCACAAAACACUUUAUUGGGAGAAAGACGGCCAGUGGGAGGAAAGGUUGAGGAUUCAGGACUCCUCGACUCUAAUUCUUGGUCAGCCAGCAACACCCUCCAUCCCUCCCAGAGCCUCCAGAAUCUUCACCUUCUGUAAUCUGGUGUCACGUCCCUUCCAGUUUUGACAUCCUGCAGUUCCAGAAUACCUAUUGAUUUAAAGAGCUGUGGCCAUACAGGAAGAACAGCAAGAGCCGCUGGCAAAGGAUUCUGCCAAGAGAGAAUCCAAAGGUUACCCCUGAAUAGCAGAAUGCAACGCCCCAGCUCACCACUGGCCAGAGCACCAGCACACAGGUAACAGCCCUGCCACCAUGCCAAGGUGUGAGGAUGGAGCGGGAGAGGGGCCGGGGGGAGUGAAGGAGCCCUCGCAGGUCUUUCAAAGUGCGGGUCUUAGCUUUGGAAGGGUAGCUGUACCAGCAGAUGGGCCCUUGGGAAACCACCAGGGAACAAUUCACGGCUGGAGAGAAAAAGGCCACCUUUGACCCAGCAGAAGGCAGAGGCCCGAGAGGAGAGUGAGGCGGUACAAGGGGUACUGCGGGCGAAGAAAACACUGCCCAGCACCUCACUGGGAUGGGAACUGGCUGUUUAUCACACUCUCGCAACAAACAAGCAGAUUUGCCUGUUUUAAAACAACUUUGCACCCCUUUCAAAGGCAGCAGUUCCUAGGCUGAAAGGACAAACUUCGGCAGAGCUGGUAAGUACCUGAAGCUGUUCCUGCUUCCAGCAUCAAACCAUCCUCCCUCUUUUCUGAGUUACUGUCUGCCCAAAAGCCAUUCUUUACAAAAGGUUUGCUUCCAUGUGUUGACAGGUGGAUUCUUGAUGACAUACAGGCCAUGUAUUUCAAAAGUGUAAUGCCUAGCUAUUUCUACUUUCAAAUCGUGACUAAAGCCAAACCAAAACCACAGCAAAGAAAAUCUAAGGAUUUGUUUACCAGAAAUACCUACAAAGAAGUUUGCAAGCUGGGUGCGGUGGCUCACGUCUGUAAUCCCAGCACUUUGGGAGGCUGAGACUGGCAGAUCACCUGAGUAGGAGUUGGUUUUAAAGAACCACCCCCCCGCCCCCACCAAAGGUAUACUUCUUCAACUUUCUCAGCUUUGCCAGACUGUCAGGAGGUAAGCUGCCUACUCUUUUCUGGAUCUAUUGGGAGAAAGUUUUUUAAAGAGCCUGCCCUUCCCACCACCGUAAUGAUAGGGGCUGUGAAAUGGCUGUUGAGUGAUGGUCACACGACCAGAAGGCAGGUGAAAAGGUCAGCACUGUUAGGGGUUCAGCUUCCCCUACCAGCCUGCUGUGCCCAGGGUUGGGAGUGCUUGGGGAAACUGUCUUCCCCAGACAGCCAGCUAUGUAAGCCAACUCCCACCGCAAAGGCACCUAAAAGCAAAAUCUGUCCAAUCCAAACCCCUCCUCCAUUUUCCCACCCACUUAAAGGCAGCUCCCCUAGUACCAAACAAGCCAAGAAUUAGACUGUUUUGCCCAGUCCAAGGAGAGGCGCAUGGGGCACUUGCAUGGAAAUUCACCUUGGGGAAGUCAUAUGGGGUCCGUGUUAGCUGCCAGUGGGCCAAAUACAGGGAUUUGGAGCCUGUGGCUCCGGGAGAAAGAGGGAUGCUGUGGGUUGAGCCCAUGUGUGUGAGCAGCUGGAGAAACACCCUCAAUCCACUCCCUGGGCUGGGGUUGUAACCUCCACGCAGCCACCAGUGGGGGCACUUCUACUUUUUAAAUGCUUUUAAUUCUCUUCAGGUGGUGAGAGGUUGUUGCGAUGGUCAGAGGCUGUGCUGGUGGCCAGGAGCACCUCAUGCCUGCCCCACACACCCCUUCCUCCAGGAGAUACUUGAAAGGGCCCAUGCCCCAUCUCAUGUAGAAGAAUGUCAUCUCCAGGGUCUGCCGCCGCCACCUCACCAAGUCUCCCACAGGCACAGAAGGGGUGCUUCCAGCGUCUCCUAGGAGCUGAUGACAUGUCCGGACCAAGUCUCAUGCUUGGUGCCCGGUGCCAGGGCCGAAGACCGGCAUCUGCCUAGCAUCGUGUGGGUCCUUUGCAACCCUGGCACUGUGCCCAUUUUGCAGCUGCAGAAUUCAGUCUCACAUGGAAAGAGACUGUCGUGUGGUAUGUGUGGUUAAAGCCCAGUGAUUCUGACCCCACCCAUUGCCACUCCCAGCUCGUAACAGGUUCUUGUGGGCUGGGCAGUACCCUGAAUUUAGAAGGCACUGUCCCAUUUUCUCACCAUCAGUUCAGCCCCAGGUCUGCCUAUUUGACAGACUGGGACACUGACUUCCAAAAAUGGCCAGAAACCCAUCAGAGAAAGUGUCCCCAGCCAGCUCUAGACUCACGCUGAGAAGGUCCUUGUCCGGCGAGUGGGCAGUGGGCUUGGGACCACGUUGCCCCGCAGAGGGGAUGGUGAGCGCUCUCGGGUCCGAGGGGUGUCCAGCAGCCCAACUGAAGCCUGAUGGGUGGGGGGCUGUGGUGGAGGCGGAGGCUCAGAUGACAUGGCUGACCUGGAAAGAGAUGAAGCUCUCAGGGAUUCCUGCCUUGAAGGUAGGGGCCCAGUGCUUACCCCGUGUCCAGGUCUGAGAGUCCAGUAUCUGAGACCUGUUCCUCUCAGCACCGCUAUCACCUUGUCUGGAAGGAAGCCUGGUGGGGUCAGGUGCCUCCUCUGGGCUCCUGAAGCAGCCAUGAGCCCCCCCCCUUCAAUCAUAGCUCUUCAUGAAAAUGCUACAUCCUCCCCCAUGACCAAGAUGGCAUCUGUCCCCUGUGUCCCCAGGACAAGCCAUGGACCCUGGCACACUUGGGACACAUAGUGACUAUUCGUGGGAGGAAAAUAAGCAGGCCAGGACGAUAAGCAGAAAACCCAAAGCCACAGGCCAGGCACAGUGGCUGCAAUCCCAGCACUGUGGGAGGAUCACUUGAACUCAGGAGUUGGAGACCAGCGUGGCCAACAUGAGAUAGGGUUUCGUUAUAUCGCCAAGGCCAGUUGAGAGCUCCUGGGCUCAAGCGAUCGGCCCACCUCGACCUCCCAAAGAGCUGGGAUUAGAGACGUGAACCACAGCACCCAGCCUCCAACGCUCAUUCUCAGCGGGCAUGAGGAUCCAAAGCCCCAGCUGGCCACGACUGCCCUGGUGUGUGCUCAGCAUCGUGCCCAACCCAGCAGUUGGCGGCUAUAUUCCUGCUCACCUGACAGUGGAAGAACCUGAGGCACAGGGAGCAGAUGUUGACUGGGGCAGGACCUCCUGGGAGACCCAGGAGCUUUAUCCAGCCUCUCACGGCCCAUCUGGGCUGGAGAGUAGCUGGGGUGGCCAGCGCAGGCCUGGCCCAGGGCUACCUAACUCCCCAGAAGGCCCAGCAAAGAGAAGUGAAUGGCCUCAGUGCGGGGGAGGGCUGGGCAAAGUCCAGCUGGAAAGAAAAUAGCUGGGGGCAGGUAGCCAAACACCCAGGAGCCAGCUCUGAGGCCCUGGCCAGCCGCUGCUCUGUCCCCUCCACAAUACACACAUACACCAAGAUGGGGCCACACAGCAGCCCCAGCCCCGCCCAGCUUCCAGCCAGCGACUGCUCUCCCAGCAACACCAGGCAUGGCCUUGUAGUGUCCCCAGGAGAAGGCAAGGCCCACCCUCUGUGACUAGCCGUCAGCUCCCCACAGCUGGGGAAGGAAAGAGGCUGCAAACAGACCUGCUUCUCAAGCCAGCUGGAGGCUCAGGGCCAGACCAGGGAUGAGCUUCGGGCCUGCAACAAACUCGGACCAAACGUCACACCCAAGGCAAGUCAUGACUGCCAGGCUGCGUGUACAUGUGUGCUUGUGUGUGCACGUGUGUAUAUGUGAGCUGCGUAUGUGCACACACAUGUUGUAUACAUGCACAAACUUAUUGCUGUCUGUACACACAGGCCCACGGACCAGGGGACCCUCCCUCACCUGGAACGCUGGGCCCUGUGCUGCCAUAGAGGACCUUGAACACUGCCACUUCCUAGUCAACCAACAGAUGGGGUAGUGGAACAGACCAUUACUACCACCAUCACAGCAGUAUCCUGAGGCCAGCCUGCUUACUACUUACAACACUUCAUACAGCUCAGCUCAUUCCAUCCCCAUUUCACUAAUGGGAGGACAGGACCAAGACACAGAGUCAAGUAACUUGCCCAGGGUCGCCCAGUGAAUAAAAACCGUGGUGAAAUACACAGUA